GUUUAGCCUUGAUUGAACAAUUUUGUUUGAGCUCUUUUUAUACUGAAGGCAAUCAGUAUAAAAAAGCGAGUAGUGAAAGCAGGAAAUGGC
rnacentral:misc_RNA from 1 species